rnacentral:rRNA from 1 species
AGUGAACGCUGGCGGCAGGCCUAACACAUGCAAGUCGAACGGCAGCACAGAGGAGCUUGCUCCUUGGGUGGCGAGUGGCGGACGGGUGAGGAAUGCGUCGGAAUCUGCCUUUUUGUGGGGGAUAACGUAGGGAAACUUACGCUAAUACCGCAUACGACCUACGGGUGAAAGUGGGGGACCGCAAGGCCUCACGCAGAAAGAUGAGCCGACGCCGGAUUAGCUAGUUGGCGGGGGAAAGGCCCAACAAGGCGACGAUCCGUAGCUGGUCUGAGAGGAUGAUCAGCCACACUGGGACUGAGACACGGCCCAGACUCCUACGGGAGGCAGCAGUGGGGAAUAUUGGACAAUGGGCGCAAGCCUGAUCCAGCCAUGCCGCGUGUGUGAAGAAGGCCUUCGGGUUGUAAAGCACUUUUGUCCGGAAAGAAAUCCUUUCGAUUAAUACUCGGGAGGGAUGACGGUACCGGGAGAAUAAGCACCGGCUAACUUCGUGCCAGCCGCCGCCGUAA